UGAGGAAUUUUCUGCAAUGGGCGAAAGCCUGACAGAGCAAUACCGCGUGAGGGAUGAAGGCCUACGGGUUGUAAACCUCUUUUCUCAAGGAGGAAGAUCUGACGUUACUUGAGGAAUAAGCAUCGGCUAACCCU
rnacentral:rRNA from 1 species